rnacentral:rRNA from 1 species
UACGGAGGAUCCAAGCGUUAUCCGGAAUUACUGGGCGUAAAGAGUUGCGUAGGUGGCAUAGUAAGUAGGUAGUGAAAGCGUUCGGCUCAACCGGAUACACAUUACCUAAACUGCUAAGCUCGAGGAUGAGAGAGGUUAUUGGAAUUCCCUGUGUAGGAGUGAAAUCCGUAGAUAUAGGGAGGAACACCGAUGGCGUAGGCAGAUAACUGGCUCAUUCCUGACACUAAGGCACGAAAGCGUGGGGAGCAAACGGG